CAUUUUUGUUCAUCUCCUUGAAAGACGCCAUGGAGCAGGAAAGUCCACUGUCAACAUUUUUAUGACCUCUGUGGAAAAUAUGAUGUUAAAGGCUUUUGGGAACCACUUCGUUAAGCUUGGCUUUUUCUAGGCCACCACAAAAGUGACAAGAGCUGACAGGAUUGUAAGGAAUUAUUGGGCCAGCAUUAUGCGGAAUAAAAGGCCAGAGAGGAUUGGGAACCCAAAUAUCACACUUAAAUUCUCAAUACUCCAGAAAACUCGAAUUUCCAGCCAUGAAGAAGACAAAGUUUGCUAAAAAAAAAAAAAAAAAAAAGAUGAUAAAUAAAGCAAGCAGUGAUAGAGGCAGUGAUAACAAUGACCAUGGAAUAGAAGAUGGACAAUGUGUCUCCCAGCCUAGUGAUGUGCUUCAUUUGGCUUUGGAAGCCAAAAGUACCCAUGGGUAUUACAUUGCCUAGGCAGUAAAUUUGUUUGAACUUUCUGGA